rnacentral:lncRNA from 1 species
CUCUAUCAACUGUCAGCCGCUUUCAGCCACCUGCCAUGGUGAGUGGGACAUGCGGCGAGUGUAGGUCGUCCAAAGCAGAUCCGCAAUCAUUACUGCGCCGGGCCCUGUUGCCUAUUUCAAUCUGCUCUCCCCUUCUAGGGAUUUCACUUUGCCUGAGAGUCUUGUUGGUGCCCUUCUUCUUCUCCGAGAGUUCCAUCCCUUUCGACCUUAGGCGUUCUUCAAGUUGAUCCCCAUCUCUGCAUCUCUGCACCUCUCGGACCAGCCUAGGUUAGUUCCAGAACUCCCCUCUUCUCUCUUUUUUUUUCUUCCCUACUAUUCUUCUUCC